UACGGGGGGGGCAAGCGUUGUUCGGAAUUACUGGGCGUAAAGGGCUCGUAGGCGGCCCUCUCAGUCGGAUGUGAAAUCCCCAGGCUUAACCUGGGAAUGGCAUCCGAUACUGGAGGGCUUGAAUUCGGGAGAGGGAUGCAGAAUUCCAGGUGUAGCGGUGAAAUGCGUAGAUAUCUGGAGGAAUACCGGUGGCGAAGGCGGCAUCCUGGACCGAGAUUGACGCUGAGGAGCGAAAGCCAGGGGAGCAAACGGG
rnacentral:rRNA from 1 species